rnacentral:rRNA from 1 species
CCUACGGGAGGCAGCAGUGGGGAAUUUUGCGCAAUGCUCGUAAGUGUGACGCAGCGACGCCGCGUGAAUGACGAAGGCCUUCGGGUCGUAAAGUUCUUUCGACAGGGAAGAAAAUGCCUAUAAGUAACUGUGUAUGUAUUGAUGGUACCAGUAUAAGCAGCCCCGGCUAACUCCGUGCCAGCAGCCGCGGUAAUACGGAGGGGGCGAGCGUUGUUCGGAGUGACUGGGCGUAAAGAGCACGUAGGCGGUGUUGUAAGUCAUUAGUCAAAUACUAGAGCUCAACUUUUGUAAGGCUAGUGAUACUAUAAUACUAGAGAAUCAUAGAGGAAUGCAGAAUGCAUGGUGUAGCGGUGAAAUGCGUAGAUAUCA